GACGAACGCUGGCGGCGUGCUUAACACAUGCAAGUCGUACGGUAAGGCCCUUUCGGGGGUACACGAGUGGCGAACGGGUGAGUAACACGUGAGUAACCUGCCCACAACUUUGGGAUAACGCUAGGAAACUGGUGCUAAUACUGGAUAUGUGCUCCUGCUGCAUGGUGGGGGUUGGAAAGCUCCGGCGGUUGUGGAUGGACUCGCGGCCUAUCAGCUUGUUGGUGGGGUAGUGGCCUACCAAGGCGGCGACGGGUAGCCGGCCUGAGAGGGUGACCGGCCACAUUGGGACUGAGAUACGGCCCAGACUCCUACGGGAGGCAGCAGGGGGGAAUAUUGCACAAGGGGCGCAAGCCUGAUGCAGCAACGCCGCGGGCGGGAUAACGGCCUUCGGGUUGUAAACCGCUUUCAGCAGGGACGAAGCUUUUUGUGACGGUACCUGCAGAAGAAGCACCGGCUAACUACGUG
rnacentral:rRNA from 1 species